rnacentral:rRNA from 1 species
UGGUCAUUUAGAGGAAGUAAAAGUCGUAACAAGGUUUCCGUAGGUGAACCUGCGGAAGGAUCAUUAACAAAAUGUGAAUUUUCAAUUCAUAAACACAUUCCGCGUACUUAUCCCUGUUGCUUCCGCAUGUUUGGCAAUAGCUCUUGCCAUUCCUCUCCACUAGAGGGGCUUGCGGGAGAUUAUAAUAACCUCUGUCAUUCUUAUGUUGUCUGAAUCUUUGCCUUUGCAAGUAUUAAAACUUUCAACAACGGAUCUCUUGGUUCUCGCAUCGAUGAAGAGCGCAGCGAAAUGCGAUAAGUAGUGUGAAUUGCAGAAUUCCGUGAAUCAUCGAGUUCUUGAACGCACAUUGCGCCCCUUGGCAUUCCAAGGGGCAUGCCUGUCCGAGUGUCAUUGAAAACUCUCAGGUUUGGAUUUAUCCACUUCCUGGUUUUGAGUUCGGAGCUUUGUUGAUGUUCCAAUUCGAAAUGAAAUGGCGCAAAUGGUUGUCGGAUCUGUGUAAUAAGUUUAAUCCUUCACAAGUCGAUGCAUCAUUUGUUGCUCUGUAUUAUUAGUAUGUUACUCCUUAUGACCUCGGAUCAGGUAAGGAUACCCGCUGAACUUAAGCAUAUCAAUAAGCGGAGGA